rnacentral:lncRNA from 1 species
GAGACUGAAACAAAUGGAGAGAGAGAAGGAGAGAAAGAGACAGAUGGAGCAACUGAAGGCAUCAGAGAGACAUGCAGAGUUGGACAGAGACAAAGGAAUACAGAAAGAGAUGGAACGACUACAAAAACAGAAGCAGAGAGAGAUGGAGCAGCUACAGGAGCAAGAAAGAGCAACAGAAAGGCAGAAUGAGAUAGACAGAUUGAUUGACUUGGAAAGAGAAAAAGCACUGAAGCAAGACAUUGAGAAAUUGGAAGAAAUUAUGAGACAGGAAGAACUGAAGAAGCAAUGGGAAGAGAAACAGAAGACACUGGAAAAACAAAUGGAAGAAAAACAGAGAGAGAUGGAAAGAAAACUUAAACAAAAACAAAAAGAACUGGAGCAAUGUUUGAAUGGAAGGCAGCAAAAGAUUGAGGAGGAGAGGCAGGAGACAGAGAGGGAGAUGGAGCAUCUGAAAGAGAUGGAGAGAGAGAUCAAGAAGAAGGGAGACAUGGAACUGAGGCAGAGAGAAGAGAGACGGAGGGAGAUGGAGCUGAAGCAGCUAGAGGAGUUGAACAAUAACACCAAAGAGAUAGAAAAACAGAAAGAAAAGCUGGAAAGAAAAGCCAUGAAAGAGGAGAGGUUGAAAGAGCGGGAGAGAGCAGAAUGUCAAAGGCAGAUACAAAUGGAGGAAGACAAGCAAAGAGAGAGCGAAAGACUUCUAGAGAUCCAAAGAAGGGAGAUGGAGGAGAAAAAACGAGAACUGGAGUUGCAGAAAAUGAAAGUAUCUGAGAUGGAAAAGGAACUCAAGGAAAGGGAUCAAAAGCUGAAAGAGAAAAGCCAAAGUGAGCUGCAACAAAUGGAGGAGAAGUGGAGAGUAUUGUCUCAGCAGAAGGAAGAUGAAUGGGACAAGAGGUGUAAAGAGAUUGAAAAACAGAGAGAAAAGGCAGAAAGAGAUGCCCAGGCAGAGUACAACAGAUUACAAGAACUCGAGAGAACAGAAUGUCAAAGACAGAUCAAAAUUAAAGAGGAAAAAACUAAACAAAAAGAAAGACUUCUAGAGGUUCAGAGGAUGGAAAUGGAGGAGAACAAACGAGAACUGGGGUUGCAGAAAUUUGCUGAACCUGACAUGGAAGAAAAACUCAAAGAAAUGGAGCAAAGGCUGAAAGAGAAAAGCCAAAGUGAGCUGCAACAAAUGGAGAAGAAGUGGAGAGUAUUGGAUCAGCAGAAGGAACAUGAACGGGACGAGAGGUGUAAAGAGAUUGAAAAACAGAGAGAAAGGGCAGAGAGAGAGGACAAGGAAGAGAGAGUGAGAUUGCAAGAGUUAGAAAGAGAGGAACAACAAAGGCAGAUCAUAAAGGGGCUACAGAGAGAGAGAGAGAGCUUCUUGAAGAUACAGAGGAAGGAGAGCAAACAAAGGAAGAUGGAGGAGAAACAGCAACUGGGAUUACAGAGAGCUGCAGUAGCAGAAAAAGAGGAGAUACUCAAAGAAAUGGAGAAAAGAAUGACAGAAAAAAAUCUGACUGAGCUAAAACAAAUGGAGGAAAACUGGACAAAAACAGCCCAACAGAAGGAAGAGGAAUGGAAAGAUAGAUAUAGAGCGAUAGAAAAACAGAAAGAAGAGGCAGAAAAAGAAGCCAACAAAGAGAAAGAGAUAUUACAAGAGCAAAGGAGAAAAGAGCAGCAAAUGCAGAUUGAAAUGGAAGAACAAAGAGAGGUAGAAAGAAGAGAUAAUGCAGAGAGACAAAGAGAGAUGGAGAAGAGAAAGCUGGACAAAGAGAGAAUAGAAGAGGAGAGACUGAAGCAAAGCCAUAAUGAAGACAGGCAAAGAGAACUUGAGUUACAGAAAGUUGUUGAAGCAGAGAUGGAUGAGAAACUCAAGGAAAUUGAAAGAAACAUACAAGAGACAAACAUCGCUAAGCUAAAACAAGCAGAGGAGGAGUGGACAGCAGUAGCCCAGCAAAAGGAGAAUGAGUGGAAAGAGAGAUGCAGAGAGAUUGAAAAACAAAGAGAAGAGGCAGAAACAGAGGCUAAGAACGGGGGAAAGCGAUUACAAGAACUGGAGAGGGAGAAACUACAAAGGCAAAUGAAAAUCGAAGAGGAAAAACAAAAAGAGAGAGAAAGACUCCUGGAGACCCAAAACAAGGUGAUGGAGGACACACAAAGGGAGAUGGAACAGAAAAAGUUAGAGAUGGAGAGAAAAGAAGAGUAUAGGCUGAGGCAUACUGAGAAGAGACAAAGAGAGAUUGAGCAAAAACGAGAAUUGGACUUACAAAAGGCAGCAGAGGCAGAGAAACUCAAGGAAGCUGAGAGAAGCAUGAAAGACAAAAAUGAGUCUGAGCUGCAACAAAUGGAGGAAAAGUGGAAGGCAAUUGCUCAGCAAAAAGAGAAUGAAUGGAAAGAGAGAUGCAGAGAGAUUGAAAAACAAAGAGAGGAGGCAGAAACAGAGGCUAAAAAAGGGGAAGAGAGAUUGCAAGAACUGGAGAGGGAAAAACUACAAAGGCAAAUGAAAAUCGAAGAGGAAAAACAAAAAGAGAGAGAAAGGCUUCUGGAGAUCCAAAAAAGGGAGAUAGAUGAGAGACAAAGGGAGACGGAACAGAAAAAGUUAGAGAUGGAGAGAAAAGAAGAGUAUAGGCUGAGGCAUACUGAGGAGAGACAAAGAGAGAUUGAGCAAAAACGAGAAAUAGACUUACAAAAGGCAGCAGAGGCAGAGAAACUCAAGGAAGCUGAGAGAAGCAUGAAAUACAAAAAUGAGUCUGAGCUGCAACAAAUGGAGGAAAAGUGGAAGGCAAUUGCUCAGCAAAAGGAGAAUGAGUGGAAAGAAAGAUGUGAACAAAUGGAGAAACAAAGGAAAGAGGCAGAGAGUAGACGGAUGGUGGAAGAAGCCAAGAGAGAGGAAGAGAGAUUGCAAGAGGUAGAAAGAGAAAAACUUUCAAAGCAGCUUCAAACUGAAAAGGAUAAACAAAAAAGGGGAGAUAGUUUCCUGGAGACCCAAAGAAUGGAAAUGGAGGAGAGAGAACGAGAGAUGGAGGAGAGAGAACGAGAUAUGGGACAGAAAGAGUUGAAGAUGGAGAGAGAAGAAGAGAAAAGACUGAGGCACAUUGAAGAGAGACAAAGAGAGAUUGCGCUAAAACAAGAAAUGGAAUUACAAAAGGCAGCAGAGGCAGAGAUACUCAAGGAAGCUGAGAGAAGCAUGAAAGACAGAAAUGAGUCCGAGCUGCGACAAAUGGAUGAAAAGUGGAAGGCAACUGGUCAGCAAAAGGAUAAUGAGGGGAAAGAGAGAUGUGAACAAAUAGAGAAACAAAGGAAAGAGGCAAAGAGUAGACAGAUGGUGGAAGAAGCAAAGAGAGAGGAAGAGAAAUUGCAAGAGGUAGAAAGAGAAAAACUUCAAAACCAGCUUCAAACUGAUGAAAAAACUAGUGCACCGGGAAUAAAUUCUGGACAGCCUUUCAAAUCAAAAUGGCAAAUACGUCUGGAGAAAGAGAAGGAGAAACAGAGAGAGGCAAGGAGAAAUGCAGGUGAGAGGCAGAGAAAGGCACAAGAGGCAUGGAAAGAAGAGCUUAAAAGGAGAGAGGAGAAGAGAAAGAAAGAUGAAGAGGAGAAGUACUGGUCUCAACACCCAGAGGAAUGGCGCAAGCUCCAGGAAGAGCUAGCCAUCAAGAAAGAGGACGAACGACGACUGCAGCUGGAGAAAAAAUGGGAAGAAGAGACAAGGAGGAUGGAAGAGAGAAAGAAAAGAGAGCAAAAAAUUGAGGAUGAGAUGAGACGUGAGAGGGAAAGGCAGCGAGAGACUAAGCGACAGGAGGAAAUAGAGAAACAGGAGAUUGAAAUGCAACGCCAACUAGAAUUCGAAAAACAGAAGAAAUUGGAAAGACAGAGGGAACUGGACAUGGAAAGAGAGAGAGAACAGGAAAUGGAAAGAGAGAGAAAACAGGAAAUUCAGAGACAAACAGAAAAAGAAGAAAUGGCAAGAAAAAGACAAGAGGAAGAAAUGGAGGGACAGACAGAGAUGGAACAACGGGAGGAGGAGGGAAGAUUGACAGAAACCGAUGAUGACGGGAGUGAAGAUCAUCAAACCCAGGAUGGGACGGUAGCCCAAGAUAAGAGUAAAAGAAGAAGAUUCCUUGGAUGGGUCAAUAAAAAGGUGAAAAAGAGAAAUGAGACAAAAAUUGAGAAGACUAUCAAGAGGGAAGAGGAGGAAAGUGAUGGAUUAACCUUUCACCGUAAGUACCCAAUAAAUCUGUAAAUAUUCCGUCUAAGAUCUUUCCUAAAAUCCACAUCUAAAUAUUGUGACUUCAUGUUCUUUUUUGUGUUUUCUUGUUUUAAUUUUACCAGUAACUUUAAUGAGUUAUCAAAUCUUUUCUCUCUAUAGUUUUCGGGGGUUUAGAAAAAGGGGUCAAGCGAGAACAGGAGAAGCGUCGGAGCCUACUGAACCCAGAGAUAACCAGACAAAAACUAGGGGGAUCCUGGCUUGAAUGGGAAGAAGAAAGGCAACAGAAUAAGAUGGAAGAGAGAAAGAAAGUGGACCAACAAAUUGAGGAUGAAAUGAGACGUGAGAGAGAAAGGCAGCGAGAAAAUGAGCGACAGGAGGAAAUAGAGAAACAGGAGAUUGAGAUGAAACUCCAACUAGAAUUAGAAAAUCAGAAGAAAUUGGAAAGAGAGAGGGAACUGGAAAUGGAAAGAGAUAGAGAACAGGAAAUUCAGAGACAGACAGAAAAAGAAGAAAUGGCAAGAAAGAGACAAGAGGAAGAAAUGGAGGGACAGACAGAGAUGGAACAACGGGAGGAAGAGGGAAGAUUGACAGAAACCGAUGAUGAUGGGAGUGAAGAUCAUCAAACCCAGGAUGGGACGAUGGCCCAAGAUAAGAGUAAAAGAAGAAGAUUCCUUGGAUGGGUCAAUCAAAAGGUGAAAGAGAGAAAUGAGACAAAGAUUGAGAAGACUAUUAAGAGGGAAGAGGAGGAAGGGGAUGAACCUUACUUUGGAGGU